AUACUACUCCCUCCGUUCCAAAUUACUCGUCGCAAAAAUGAAUGUAUCUAGAACUAAAAUACAUAUAGAUACAUCCAUACCUGCGACAAAUAAUUCAGGACGGAGGGAGUAAAAC
rnacentral:pre_miRNA from 1 species